GAUGAACGCUAGCUACAGGCUUAACACAUGCAAGUCGAGGGACCGGCGCACGGGUGAGAAACACGUAUCCAACCUGCCCUUUACUCGGGGAUAGCCUUUCGAAAGAAAGAUUAAUACCCGAUAUAAUGGAUGGGGAUGCGUUGCAUUAGGUUGAUGGUGAGGUAACGGCUCACCAAGCCUUCGAUGGUUAGGGGUUCUGAGAGGAAGGUCCCUGCCAUUGGAACUGAGGCAAAGUCCACACUCCUACGGAAUGGAGUAGUGAGGAAUAUUGGGCGAUGGACGCGAGCCUGAACCCGCCAAGUAGCGUGAAGGAUGAAGGCUUAUGUGUCUUAAACUACUUUUAUAUAAGAAUAUGUAUUAUAUGAAUAAGGAUCGGCUAACUCCGUGCCAGCCGCCGCGGUAAUUC
rnacentral:rRNA from 1 species